GAAGGUUUUCUGAGGGAACAACUGGAGGCUGAGGCAUGUCGGUGUUUACUUUGAGCUACAGUAUGUUGAUGACACAUGACUACAAAUUCUUCCUUCUGAAAAAGGUCCCAUCUCAAAUAGGACGAAUAAAAUAGAUUUAAAGAGCUGACAUGUUACAGAAGCUACAGAUGUAAUAAAUUGAUGAGAUUAGCUUGAAAAAUGCUAGACGUCUCCAUUAAGCAUCUUGCUCAAGGGCUUAUUUCAGUCCUGAGAUUUCAUCUUACAUCCUACUGGUUAUUGAUGAUGCUUUGUAGAUAAAUGGUGCUGCAGCAAUCUCUCACAAUUCCCCUGGUCAUAAGUUAUACCAUCCUUCACCUGACUGUCUUGUCAUCUUAAAUUCAUCCUUUUCAUCUCAGACGUUUAACCUCGAGUGUUUGCCAUAACGCCA
ensembl:lncRNA